rnacentral:rRNA from 1 species
AUAGCCCCAGUAACGGCGAGUGAAGCGGCUACAGCUCAAAUUUGAAAUCUGGCCCCCUCCGGGGGUCCGAGUUGUAAUUUGCAGAGGAUGCUUUGGCGUUGGCGGCGGUCUAAGUUCCUUGGAACAGGACAUCGCAGAGGGUGAGAAUCCCGUACGUGGGCGCCUGCCUUCGCCGUGUAAAGCUCCUUCGACGAGUCGAGUUGUUUGGGAAUGCAGCUCUAAAUGGGAGGUAAAUUUCUCCUAAAGCUAAAUACCGGCCAGAGACCGAUAGCGCACAAGUAGAGUGAUCGAAAGAUGAAAAGUACUUUGGAAAGAGAGUCAAAUAGCACGUGAAAUUGUUGAAAGGGAAGCGCUUGCAGCCAGACUUGCCCGCAGUUGCUCACCCAGGCUCCCGCCUGGGGCACUCUUCCGCGGGCAGGCCAGCAUCAGUUUGGGCGGUCGGACAAAGGUCUCUGUCACGUACCACCCUCCGGGGUGGCCUUAUAGGGGAGACGCAAUGCGACCAGCCCGGACUGAGGUCCGCGCAUCUGCUAGGAUGCUGGCGUAAUGGCUGUAAGCGGCCCGUCUUGAAACACGGACCAAGGAGUCUAACAUCUAUGCGAGUGUUUGGGUGUCAAGCCCGGGCGCGUAAUGAAAGUGAACGGAGGUGGGAACCCCUCGCGGGGCGCACCAUCGACCGAUCCUGAUGUCUUCGGAUGGAUUUGAGUAAGAGCAUAGCUGUUGGGACCCGAAAGAUGGUGAACUAUGCUUGAAUAGGGUGAAGCCAGAGGAAACUCUGGUGGAGGCUCGCAGCGGUUCUGACGUGCAAAUCGAUCGUCAAAUUUGGGCAUAGGGGCGAAAGACUAAUCGAACCA